AACGUAGGUGGCAAGCGUUAUCCGGAAUUACUGGGCGUAAAGGGUGCGUAGGCGGUCCUAUAAGUAUGGUGUGAAAUCUCCCGGCUUAACUGGGAGGGUGCGCUAUAGACUGUGGGACUAGAGUGUGGGAGAGGAAAGUGGAAUUCCUGGUGUAGCGGUGAAAUGCGUAGAUAUCAGGAGGAACACCGGUGGUGUAAACGGCUUUCUGGACCAUAACUGACGCUGAGGCACGAAAGCGUGGGUAGCAAACAGG
rnacentral:rRNA from 1 species